UACGGAGGGUGCAGGCGUUAAUCGGAAUUACUGGGCGUAAAGAGCGCGCAGGCGGUCGAUCAAGUCGGGGGUGAAAGCCCCCGGCUCAACUGGGGAGGGUCAUUCGAUACUGAUCGACUCGAAGGCAGGAGAGGGUAGUGGAAUUCCCGGUGUAGUGGUGAAAUGCGUAGAUAUCGGGAGGAACACCAGUGGCGAAGGCGGCCGCCUGGUUGGAUACUGACGCUGAGACGCGAAAGCGUGGGGAGCAAACAGG
rnacentral:rRNA from 1 species